GACGAACGCUGGCGGCGUGCUUAACACGUGCAAGUGGAGCGACGAACCAGGCUUCGGCCUGGGGCAGAGCCGCGAACGGGUGAGUAACACGUGGGUAACCUGCCUCGAUGACCGGGGCAACCCGAGGAAACCCGGGCUAAUACCGGAUGUGCUCCUUCACAUCAGUGAAGACAGGAAAGGAAGCUUCGGCCUCCGCAUCGAGGUGGGCCCGCGGCCCAUUAGCUUGUUGGUGAGGUAACGGCNCACCAAGGCUGCGAUGGGUAGCUGGUCUGAGAGGACGAUCAGCCACACUGGGACUGAGACACGGCCCAGACUCCUACGGGAGGCAGCAGUGGGGAAUCUUGCGCAAUGCGCGAAAGCGUGACGCAGCAACGCCGCGUGGGGGAAGACGGC
rnacentral:rRNA from 1 species